rnacentral:rRNA from 1 species
CCUACGGGCGGCAGCAGUGAGGAAUAUUGGUCAAUGGACGAGAGUCUGAACCAGCCAAGUAGCGUGAAGGAUGACUGCCCUAUGGGUUGUAAACUUCUUUUAUAUGGGAAUAAAAUGUUCCACGUGUGGGAUUUUGUAUGUACCAUAUGAAUAAGGAUCGGCUAACUCCGUGCCAGCAGCCGCGGUAAUACGGAGGAUCCGAGCGUUAUCCGGAUUUAUUGGGUUUAAAGGGAGCGUAGGUGGAGUGUUAAGUCAGUUGUGAAAGUUUGCGGCUCAACCGUAAAAUUGCAGUUGAAACUGGCAGUCUUGAGUACAGUAGAGGUGGGCGGAAUUCGUGGUGUAGCGGUGAAAUGCUUAGAUAUCACGAAGAACUCCGAUUGCGAAGGCAGUUCACUGGACUGCAACUGACACUGAGGCUCGAAAGUGUGGGUAUCAAACAGGAUUAGAUACCCGAGUAGUC